GGUUGACGGAGGAUGGAUAUUAACAAGCAGUACUGGUCUCAGUAUCUGGUAAGGCACUGUCCCAGUGUAUAGAUGGGCCCUACGGUCUGGUAUCUGUUAAGGCUCUGUUCCAAUAUGUGGAUUGGGACCCACAGUCCAGUAUCUGUUAAGGCACUGUUACACUGUGUGGAUGGGCCCCACAGUCCGGUAUCUGUUAAGGCUCUGUUCCAGUGUGUGGAUGGGCCCCACGGUCUGGUAUCUGUUAAGGCUCUGUUCCAGUAUGUGGAUGGGGCCCCACGGUCUGGUAUCUGUUAAGGCUCUGCUCCAGUGUGUGGACGGGCCCCACGGUCUGGUAUCUGUUAAGGCUCUGUUCCAGUGUGUGGAUGGUAGUGUGGCCAGCAACCCCACAGGAUGAUGUGUUAUUGGUGUCAGCAGUGCCCGGGGAUGGGAGGGUUUCAAUUGGCUGGAACGAUGGGAUCUCAUUACGCACGCAAGUCCACCUGUUGAGCUGUGAAUGAGCUGCGUCUUCCUCAGACUCAUGUCUGUGCGACCUGCGCCCUGUGACCUGUGAUCUGACCUGUGGUGGGAUAAGAAGCAGUGGCUGACGUCACACACUCUGGACGAGAGCACAUGCUUGUCAGCGCUCUCCUGAUUCGACAGCAGAGCCUGUAGCAUUGAGCACUAAUGAAUGUGAUUGGGCUACAGUCCAAACUUUGGAGAAAAAGCUUCUUAAAAAACAAAAAACAAAACAAAAAACACUGUUUUUUUUCUACUCUUUAUAUUGUGUCAUUUUAUACAUUUUUUACCUUUUAUAUACAUGCAUUUGGACAAAGUGUAUUUUGGAGUUAAUGUCUUUUUUAUCCUCACACUCAUUUAAGUUGUUUAUAAUAUUGUUAUUUAAUAAUGCUUCUGUUCAAAUAGGUCUAUUUAUGAAGUUAAUGUAAUUAGGGUAUCACACAGGUGCAUUUCAUUGUGUCAAAAGUAUUUUGCUCCACUAAAUUUUCUGUCUAAA